rnacentral:piRNA from 1 species
GCACAUAGUUGUAGCUAGGAGGAC